rnacentral:rRNA from 1 species
GAACGCUGGCGGCAGGCUUAACACAUGCAAGUCGAGCGGAGAUGAGGUGCUUGCACCUUAUCUUAGCGGCGGACGGGUGAGUAAUGCUUAGGAAUCUGCCUAUUAGUGGGGGACAACAUUCCGAAAGGAAUGCUAAUACCGCAUACGUCCUACGGGAGAAAGCAGGGGAUCUUCGGACCUUGCGCUAAUAGAUGAGCUAAGUCGGAUUAGCUAGUUGGUGGGGUAAAGGCCUACCAAGGCGACGAUCUGUAGCGGGUCUGAGAGGAUGAUCCGCCACACUGGGACUGAGACACGGCCCCAGACUCCUACGGGAGGCAGCAGUGGGGAAUAUUGGACAAUGGGGGGGAACCCUGAUCCAGCCAUGCCGCGUGUGUGAAGAAGGCCUUAUGGUUGUAAAGCACUUUAAGCGAGGAGGAGGCUACUGAGACUAAUACUCUUGGAUAGUGGACGUUACUCGCAGAAUAAGCACCGGCUAACUCUGUGCCAGCAGCCGCGGUAAUACAGAGGGUGCGAGCGUUAAUCGGAUUUACUGGGCGUAAAGCGUGCGUAGGCGGCUUUUUAAGUCGGAUGUGAAAUCCCCGAGCUUAACUUGGGAAUUGCAUUCGAUACUGGGAAGCUAGAGUAUGGGAGAGGAUGGUAGAAUUCCAGGUGUAGCGGUGAAAUGCGUAGAGAUCUGGAGGAAUACCGAUGGCGAAGGCAGCCAUCUGGCCUAAUACUGACGCUGAGGUACGAAAGCAUGGGGAGCAAACAGGAUUAGAUACCCUGGUAGUCCAUGCCGUAAACGAUGUCUACUAGCCGUUGGGGCCUUUGAGGCUUUAGUGGCGCAGCUAACGCGAUAAGUAGACCGCCUGGGGAGUACGGUCGCAAGACUAAAACUCAAAUGAAUUGACGGGGGCCCGCACAAGCGGUGGAGCAUGUGGUUUAAUUCGAUGCAACGCGAAGAACCUUACCUGGCCUUGACAUACUAGAAACUUUCCAGAGAUGGAUUGGUGCCUUCGGGAAUCUAGAUACAGGUGCUGCAUGGCUGUCGUCAGCUCGUGUCGUGAGAUGUUGGGUUAAGUCCCGCAACGAGCGCAACCCUUUUCCUUACUUGCCAGCAUUUCGGAUGGGAACUUUAAGGAUACUGCCAGUGACAAACUGGAGGAAGGCGGGGACGACGUCAAGUCAUCAUGGCCCUUACGGCCAGGGCUACACACGUG